CGCAACUUGCGCCUUUUGGUAUUCCGAAAGGCAUGCCUGUCUGAGUGUCAUGUAGCCUCAACCCCCCUCGGUUUCUGAUCGAGGGGUGUGUUGGACUUGGGCGUCUGCCGCUAGCCGUGGCUCGCCUGAAAAGUGUCAGUGGGAAGGUUCCCCGUGUCUGGCGUAAUAAGUUUCGCCCGUCCGGUCGAGCCUGCCCGCUCCCAACCCCCAUCUAUUUUGACCUUUGGCCUCAGAUCAGGUAGGACUACCCGCUGAACUUAA
rnacentral:misc_RNA from 1 species